rnacentral:rRNA from 1 species
AACGAACGCUGGCGGCAUGCCUAACACAUGCAAGUCGAACGAGACCUUCGGGUCUAGUGGCGCACGGGUGCGUAACGCGUGGGAACCUGCCUUUAGGUUGGGAAUAAUUCAGAGAAAUUUGGGCUAAUACAGGAUAAUGUAUUCGAACAAAGGAUUUAUCGCCUUUAGAUGGGCCGGGGUUGGUUUAGCUAGUUGGUGGGGUAAAGGCCUACCAAGGCGACGAUCCAUAGCUGGUCUGAGAGGAUGAUCAGCCACACUGGGACUGAGACACGGCCCAGACUCCUACGGGAGGCAGCAGUGGGGAAUAUUGGACAAUGGGCGAAAGCCUGAUCCAGCAAUGCCGCGUGAGUGAUGAAGGCCUUAGGGUUGUAAAGCUCUUUUACCCGAGAUGAUAAUGACAGUAUCGGGAGAAUAAGCUCCGGCUAACUCCGUG